GACGAACGCUGGCGGCGUGCCUAAUACAUGCAAGUAGGACGCAGUUGCGAACGGGUGAGUAACGCGUAGGUAACUACCUAUUAGAGGGGGAUAACUAUUGGAAACGAUAGCGAAUACCGCAUAGUAGUAGCUGGACCUGCGUUGUAUUAGCUAGUAGGUAGGGUAAUGGCCUACCUAGGAAACGGUACAUACCCGAGCCUGGAAGGUGAACGGCGAACAUGGGAAUGAGACAAGGCCCCGAACCCUUCGGGAGGCAGCAGGAGGGAAUCUUCGGACAUGGGGGGAAACCUGACCGAACAACGGCGCGUGAGUGAAGGAGGUUCUCGGAUCGUAAAGCUCUGUUGUUAAGGAAGCGGUACUUAACCAGAAAGGGACGGCUAACUACGUGCCAGCAGCCGCGGUAAUUC
rnacentral:rRNA from 1 species